rnacentral:rRNA from 1 species
UCGGGAAUUUUGGGCAAUGGGGGAAACCCUGACCCAGCAACGCCGCGUGAAGGAUGAAGUAUUUCGGUAUGUAAACUUCGAAAGAAUAGGAAGAAUAAAUGACGGUACUAUUUAUAAGGUCCGGCUAACUACGUGCCAGCAGCCGCGGUAAUACGUAGGGACCAAGCGUUGUUCGGAUUUACUGGGCGUAAAGGGCGCGUAGGCGGCAUGACAAGUCACUUGUGAAAUCUCUGGGCUUAACCCAGAACGGCCAAGUGAUACUGUCGCGCUAGAGUGCAGAGGGGGCAAUCGGAAUUCUUGGUGUAGCGGUGAAAUGCGUAGAUAUCAAGAGGAACACCUGAGGUGAAGACGGGUUGCUGGGCUGACACUGACGCUGAGGCGCGAAAGCCAGGGGAGCAAACGGGGAUUAGAUACCCUUGUAGUCCCUGAGCGGGC